UUAGGAAUAUUCGUCAAUGGGGGAAACCCUGAACGAGCAAUGCCGCGUGAAGGAUGACGGUCCUAUGGAUUGUAAACUUCUGUUGUUAGGGAAGAACGACCUGUAUAGGAAAUGAUACAGGAGUGACGGUACCUUUCAAGAAAGCUCCGGCUAACUACGUGCCAGCAGCCGCGGUAAUACGUAGGGAGCGAGCGUUAUCCGGAUUUAUUGGGUGUAAAGGGUGCGUAGGCGGUUUAAUAAGUCUAUGGUUUAAGUCCGAAGCUUAACUUCGGUUCGCCAUAGAAACUGUUUUACUUGAGUAUAGUAGAGGCAAGUGGAAUUUCUAGUGUAGCGGUUAAAUGCGUAGAUAUUAGAAGGAACACCAGUGGCGAAGGCGACUUGCUGGGCUAUUACUGACGCU
rnacentral:rRNA from 1 species